GAUGAACGCUGACAGAGUGCUUAACACAUGCAAGUCAACUUGAACUUCGGUUUGGGUGGCGGACGGGUGAGUAACGCGUAAAGAACUUGCCUCACAGAUAGGGACAACAUUUGGAAACGAAUGCUAAUACCUGAUAUUAUGAUUUUAGGGCAUCCUAGAAUUAUGAAAGCUAUAUGCGCUGUGAGAGAGCUUUGCGUCCCAUUAGCUAGUUGGAGAGGUAACGGCUCACCAAGGCGAUGAUGGGUAGCCGGCCUGAGAGGGUGAUCGGCCACAAGGGGACUGAGACACGGCCCUUACUCCUACGGGAGGCAGCAGUGGGGAAUAUUGGACAAUGGACCAAGAGUCUGAUCCAGCAAUUCUGUGUGCACGAUGAAGUUUUUCGGAAUGUAAAGUGCUUUCAGUUGGGAAGAAAAAAAUGACGGUACCAACAGAAGAAGUGACGGCUAAAUACGUGCCAGCAGCCGCGGUAAUACGUAUGUCACAAGCGUUAUCCGGAUUUAUUGGGCGUAAAGCGCGUCUAGGUGGUUAUAUAAGUCUGAUGUGAAAAUGCAGGGCUCAACUCUGUAUUGCGUUGGAAACUGUGUAACUAGAGUACUGGAGAGGUAAACGGAACUACAAGUGUAGAGGUGAAAUUCGUAGAUAUUUGUAGGAAUGCCGAUGGGGGAAGCCAGCUUACUGGACAGAUACUGACGCUGAAGCGCGAAAGCGUGGGUAGCAAACAGG
rnacentral:rRNA from 1 species